ACCUGAAAAUGACACUCAAGCCUUUGCGCCUACGUUUUUAAGAAAUAUGGUGCUCUGGCCGUGGCGAAACGCCACCAGGGUGCAGGAAGAAAUGACUGCAUCUCCCGAUUUGGAAAGGUGUACAUGGCUUCUCAAC
rfam:Cronobacter sakazakii ATCC BAA-894, complete genome.